GACGAACGCUGGCGGCGCGCCUAACACAUGCAAGUCGAGCGAAGCGGCGGACGGGUGAGUAACACGUGAGAAACCUGCCUUUCACAAGGGGAUAGCCUCGGGAAACCGGGAUUAAUACCCUCUGGUGAAAGAUGGUCUCGCGUCUGAUUAGCUAGUUGGUGGGGGAAUAGCCUACCAAGGCCAUGAUCAGUAACCGGCCGGGGAGGGUGAACGGUCACAUUGGAACUGAGACAUGGUCCAAACGCCGACGGGAGGCAGCAGUGGGGAAUAGUGAACAAUGGAGGAAACUCGGAUGCAGCGACGCCGCGGGGGCGAUGAAGGCUUUCGAGUCGUAAAGCUCUGUCCUAUGGGAAGCGGUACCAUAGGAGGAAGCCCCGGCUAACUACGUGCCAGCAGCCGCGGUAAUUC
rnacentral:rRNA from 1 species